AUUGAACGCUGGCGGCAUGCCUUACACAUGCAAGUCGAACGGCAGCACGGGGGCAACCCUGGUGGCGAGUGGCGAACGGGUGAGUAAUGUAUCGGAACGUACCCAGUCGUGGGGGAUAACUAUCCGAAAGGAUAGCUAAUACCGCAUACGUCCUGAGGGAGAAAGCGGGGGAUCGCAAGACCUCGCGCGAUUGGAGCGGCCGAUAUCGGAUUAGCUAGUUGGUGAGGUAAAGGCUCACCAAGGCGACGAUCCGUAGCGGGUCUGAGAGGACGACCCGCCACACUGGAACUGAGACACGGUCCAGACUCCUGCGGGAGGCAGCAGUGGGGAAUUUUGGACAAUGGGGGAAACCCUGAUCCAGCCAUUCCGCGUGAGUGAAGAAGGCCUUCGGGUUGUAAAGCUCUUUCAGCAGGAACGAAACGGCCGACUUUAAUAAAGUCGGCUAAU
rnacentral:rRNA from 1 species